GUUUAAUUAGCACAAGUUUACCUAGAAGAGGUAGUAAGACUUCAUGGAGUCCCUACUAGUAUUGUGUCAGACAGAGACCCACGAUUCACUUCGAGAUUUUGGAACAGUUUCCAAGAGGCUAUGGGCACUAAGGUACGAUUAAGUACGGCUUAUCAUUUUUAGACCGAUGGACAAUCAGAGAGAACGAUACAAACAUUGGAGGAUAUGUUACAUGCUUGUGUAUUGGAUUGGGGAGGAGAUUGAGAUCACCACUUACCACUUGUGGAAUUUGCUUACAACAACAGUUUUCAUUCAAGUAUCGGGAUGUCACCCUUUGAAGCGUUAUAUGGAAGACCUUGUAAGACGCCUCUUUGCUGGACAGAAGUUGGGGAAAGACGAUUGUUGGGUCCUGAUAUCGUGGAUGAAACCACAACAAAGAUUAAGAUUAUUCAGAAACAAAUGAAAGCAGCACAGGAUAGACAGAAAAGUUACGCAGAUAAGCACAGAGUGACUUGACCUUCCAAGAGAAUGAUGAAGUAUUUCUCAAAGUCCAAGCAACUAAAGGAAAGACCCGUUUUGGGAUGGUUGAGAAGCUAAAACCUAGAUUCAUUGGAUCUUUCAAGGUAUUGAGUAAGAUAGGGGCAGUGGCUUAUAAGGUUGCCUUACCCCCCGAGUUGGCACAAGUUCAUGAUGUGUUUCACGUGUCCAUGCUUCGAAAGUACCAUCCUGACCCUGAUCAUGUUAUUGAUUAUCAACCGCUUGAGUUAAAACCAGAUGAGACUUAUGAAGAAGAACCUAUCGAGAUUGUUGAACGAAAGGUUAAACAACUGCGGAGAAGAGAAAUACCUCUAGUAAAGGUCGCAUGGACACACCACAAAGGAGGAGAUGCGACUUGGGAAUUGGAGGACGAUAUGAAGACUCGUUAUCCCCACCUUUUUCGUAAGAAAUCGUACAUACUAUAGGUCGUUCUAGAAUUCGGGACGAAUUCUUCUUUUAAGGGUGGUGAAAUUAUAAUAAACGAAUUUAAAAAAAAUAAAGUUUGGGGGGUCAAGUGAUAAAAUUAAAAAGUUCUAGAAAAAUCUGUUAUUUCAUGGAGGACCUUUUAGUACGAAAUAAAAGUUUGGAAAAAAUUUGUAAAUUUCAAAAAAUAUAGGACUGGACUGCAAUUUCGCUAGGGUUUCUUCUUCUUCUUCCUUCUCCUCCUUCCAUGGCCGAACCAAAAAGCUCCCAAACAAGAUUUUUGCUCCGAUUUGAGUCCUUGGACAUCUUUGAACGCCGAUCACCAUCCUAUUGCCACCGCCCCAUCACCGUUGGUGAAGAAAAUCUCGAGGUUAUUGAACCCGGGAUCGAGGAUUAGAGCGAAUCUUUCAGGGUUAAUCGUUUAGACCAAGGUGAAAGGUGAAGCAGAUCAAGUGGUAGGACUUGGUAGUUGCAAGAGACACGAUGUUUUAGAUUUUUAUUUUUAUGAGUUCAGUAUUUUUAGACUUAUGUUAGGCUUUCAUUAUUGAGACUUCCGCUGCAGAUUUUGAGAUGAUAGUAUGGUAUUAAGAAUAAACCGAAUCUUUCUUUUUAAAACCUAAGUGACGAUUCAAUGGUUUCCGAAAUACCGGAUUUUGGGUCGUUACAAAAUGUAUAUUGAAAAUAAAGGUUAGACGGGUCAAGUCAUAUGGGAGUUUAGGUUUGGUAAAUAUCGCU